GGAGAGAUGGCAGAGCGGUUGAAUGCGCACGAUUCGAAAUCGUGUUACGGCCGAAACCGUACUGGGGUUCGAAUCCCCAUCUCUCCGCCA
rnacentral:tRNA from 1 species